AGAGGAGAGUCUUAGACCCGUCCACCUCCCACCCAUGAGCGGGAACUUUUGGGGGCACGCACCAGCAUCUCUUUGCCCAAGCUCUGGGCUGGUGAGGCAGCUGUGGAGUUAACUGUCUUUUUUUUAUUUGUGUCUCUGCGCCUGUCCUGGGAGAGGCAUGAUGGAUGCCCUGAGCUCCCCGGGGGGCAAAGCUGAGGGAUGAACUGAGGUGGGAAAGAAAAGCAGAGAUAGAUGUUUACUUACAAUGGAAGACAACAAAAGCCAGAAUGGCAACAGACUUAGGAAAUGCCACGUUCUCUCGAGGAGCCAGGCCGGCCUCUGGAGGAUGCCUGACGGGGCCCUGUGAGGAAGAACUGGUUGAUGGGCAGCAUCGCACGUGACAAAGAGAACCCCGAAGAGGUUGUGUGUUAGCAUUGCGGCGACGGAGAGGAUAAAGCGGCAAGAGGAAGAGUCAUCCUGCCUCCCCCUCUCCUGUGGAAAAGGCAGGCAGCCCACCAGGAGGACUUCAGCUCCACAGAGGGCCAGAUGGCAAUAGGCCCCUCACAGGGAAGCCAGCAGCAGGGGUGGCAGAUGGUCCCUAGCCUGCAGAGGAUCUCUGCAAAGAGGCUUCAUACAAGAGGGAACAAAGUUUCUGGCACCACCAUGCAGUAUGUGCUAGUAAAUGUUUAACAAAUAGCUGUCCAGAAAAAAAAGUCUCUGAUUUGUAGCACUGGCCAAUUUUCGUGGUGUAAACACUCUCACCGUCAUCAAUUUCAGGCUCUCAACCUGAACAAGGAGUCACUGAAAGAGGAGUUGGGAAGAAACGUGCAAGAUCAGCUCUGGCAGGCCAGUAGGAGCAGCGCUAGCAUGCCGCUGCCCCGGGCUAGGCCUGCAGGCCUCCCACAGAAGGGAAGGAGAGCCCAGCGAAUUCUUAGGGGACUCGAUGUAUUUUCUAUAGAUUUCUGCUCUCUGUGUGUUCCCUCUUCUCUUUCAACAUAAACAAUGAACAUUCGGCUGUGAUUCCGUUAAGUAUGACCUCAUGAACUCAGGGUUUAAAAAAAGUCAUUUUUCAGAACCACAGCCUAUAUUUGGACCCAAAUUGGCAGAAAGGACUGAGGGUUACACCUUUUAUAAAAUAACAACAAUAAAUAUUUUUUAGUAUUCUUCAAAUAUUACCCUAGAGCUCGUCAUACACAGCUUGAGAUGGUCAAUAACAGGCAACAUUUAUUGAGUGCCCACUGUGUACCACGUACCCUACAUGUAUUAACUCAUUUAAUCUUUACUACAACUUUAUGAGAAAGGUACUAUUAUUUAGAGAAUUACACCUUUUAAACAAAUAACCAUAGUGAAUACUUUUGAAUAAAACUAUGUGUUAUUCUAGACUGUUCACAAUGCAGUUUGAGAUGGUUAAAAAUAGCAAACAUUUAGUGAGUGAGCACUAGGCACCUGAUGUUUUCCAUGAACUCUCCAUUGAAUUUUUUUUGAAGUUUUUUUUUUCUUUGAGGAAGACUGGCCCUGAGCUAACAUCCAUUUCCAUCUUCCUCUACUUUAUGUGUGGGACACCUGCCACAGCAUGGCUUGAUAAGCGAUGCGUAGGUCUGCACCCGGGAUCCGAACCUGCAAAGCCCAGGCUGCCAAAGCGAAGCACAUGAACUUAACCACUACACCACCAGGCCAGUCCCUCCAUUGAAUUUCUAUAAUGACCUAUGAGCCAGGUGUUACUACGAUACUUACAUUACAGUUAAAGGAAAUAGAGGACAGAAAGUGACUUCCUGAAGGUCAGGGUCACACCCAGGCAGCCUGGCACCAAAGCGUGCUCUUUCGUAUGGGACUCUACCAUUUCUGAGCAGAAAUGUUCCUAGGCAGAUCCUUGACCUUCAGGGGAGAUGUCUGACCUUGAUUUAAAAGCAAUGCACUUCUCGUUCAAAUGUUUCUGCACAGCUGCCCUUCCCAACGUGGGCACUUCCUUCAGGCUGUAAACACUACCUUUCUCACUUGGCAGCAGAUACUGGUUGGCAUUAUGUUACUGUGGUCUGUGAUUUAGAGCUGAAGUAUCCACGUGCUGAGAAGUCAGGAGAUGAAUCUGGAAUCAAAUGCUAUUCUCCGAAUUGCUAGUCAAGUUCAAUGUUAUCCCCUUGAAAACCACUCCUAAACCACAUGCAAUUCAGCUCAAGUAAGGGGGUUAAAGAAAGUCAGAUUUCAGGAGGCUUCUAUUGAUCUCCAUCUUUAGUCUGUUUAGUACUGAAACAGUUUUGAAGUUUCUGCCUCAUUGGAGUGACAUAAUUUACACCUUUCUUUCUGAGGUUGUCUUAGCUGAGCUGCACAGCGGUGUUCUUAUGUAGACAAAGCUACUGGAGUUUAGAAACAGGAAAGGCUAGAAACUCACUUUUUAAAGUAAAAUAAAGCUUACACAGUGGGGG
ensembl:lncRNA